UGGCGGACGGGUGAGUAAUGUCUGGGAAACUGCCUGAUGAGGGGGAUAACUACUGAAACGGUAGCUAAUACCGCAUAACGUCGCAAGACCAAAGAGGGGGACCUUCGGGCCUCUUGCCAUCGGAUGUGCCCAGAUGGGAUUAGCUAGUAGGUGGGGUAACGGCUCACCUAGGCGACGAUCCCUAGCUGGUCUGAGAGGAUGACCAGCCACACUGGAACUGAGACACGGUCCAG
rnacentral:rRNA from 1 species